UAUUCUGAGGUGUUUUUCCUCCAUGGCUGU
rnacentral:piRNA from 1 species